CUCAAUCUUAGCAAGUUCAACACUUCCUCAUACUUCCUGAAGACCUGUUAGAGAUCCGCACCUGACCUUCACACACUCCAACAGUGUGAAUGUGAAUGUGUGAGGAAGAUGUAAUAUCUUCCUGAAUGAAUUUGAUGUAGGUGACAGACAGAUGUGGAUUAGCAGCAGAACAAAAGAGCAGCAGCAGUGUGUUAUAUUGCUUCGUGCUGAAGUCGAGAAAAAGCACCAUAACGAAGAAAAGGUUCCUUCACUGGAACUAAGAUUCCUAAAAGACUGUUCCACCAUGAUGAUGCUCCUGUACAGUAGACCAGCUCCAUGAAGACAUGAUGUGAGAAGGUUGGAGUGAAAGAACUCAAGUGUCCUGCUCAGAACCCAGACCUCCUCAAACCCAAUGAGAAGUGAAGAUCACAGAUUAUUAUGAGGAGAAAACCAUCAACGUGACAGUCACAGUAACGAGCACCAGGUGAAUCUCUCAUUCUGCUGUUGUAUAGAUUUACGUCUUGCAGUGUUGUUGUUGUUGUGACGAGUAGAUCCAGCUCCAGUGGAGAUCACUGCUCACAUUCUGGGACAAUCAUACUGACAGACCUGAAGUUGUGUAUGAACCCAGGUCUCAUCUGUGUGUUUUUGCUCUUCAGCGUGAGGAACACGUUAGACAUGAGUCAGAGAGUGUUAGCAUGUUAGCCCAAACACAGAGCGGUGAAGUGAACACAUGCUGCAGAUGAGGAACACUUGUGCCUGAAGAUACACCAUAUUAGUGUGGAUGAUAAACACGUAUCCAUGAAUCCAUGGCUGAUGAUUACAACUCAAGUCUCCAUCAGUGAACUUGUAGAACUCACACACUUCAUGAUAAAUGUACAGUGAGAUUUCUGGUUACAUCUUUGUGCUAUUUGAGCGAAAGUGUGGAGUAAAAGAAGGGAAUGAUUUAUAACUGCACUUUUCUUUACACUCAGUUCUCCAAUCACACUCAUGUUCAUUCUGCAUUCACACACACCACAUUACUGUACAUCAUCAUGUCACUGUUUUUGGUUUGUUAUUGUCAUACAUCAUUACAUUUCAUACAAUUUGUUUUUAUUUUACAUUAAUUGUCUCUUUUAUCCAAUUUACAAUUUUCUAAGCAGCCAAUCAGGUUUUCCGUUUCACUGAAGGAUGUUUUCUGUAUAUAAAUAUUUUUGUGAUAAAUAAAAAACCUUGAAUUUAUGAUGAGGGUGGGUUUCUUACUGAAUCUUUUUUUCUCUCAGGUUCUCUAACCAUCACCUCUGCCUCAUUACAGUGUUUUAUUUAGUGUCAGAUCAGUGCAGCUGAUUGUUAGUGUGAUCAGAUUUCCAGCUUUCAUGGAGUUUGUUUAACUCAUUGUAAGGAGAAAGCAGC